rnacentral:rRNA from 1 species
UGGGGAAUUUUGGACAAUGGGCGAAAGCCUGAUCCAGCAAUGCCGCGUGUGUGAAGAAGGCCUUCGGGUUGUAAAGCACUUUUGUCCGGAAAGAAAUCCUUGGCUCUAAUACAGUCGGGGGAUGACGGUACCGGAAGAAUAAGCACCGGCUAACUACGUGCCAGCAGCCGCGGUAAUACGUAGGGUGCAAGCGUUAAUCGGAAUUACUGGGCGUAAAGCGUGCGCAGGCGGUUUGCUAAGACCGAUGUGAAAUCCCCGGGCUCAACCUGGGAACUGCAUUGGUGACUGGCAGGCUAGAGUAUGGCAGAGGGGGUAGAAUUCCACGUGUAGCAGUGAAAUGCGUAGAGAUGUGGAGGAAUACCGAUGGCGAAGGCAGCCCCCUGGGCCAAUACUGACGCUCAUGCACGAAAGCGUGGGGAGCAAACAGGAUUAGAUACCCUGGUAGUCCACGCCCUAAACGAUGUCAACUAGUUGUUGGGGAUUCAUUUCCUUAGUAACGUAGCUAACGCGUGAAGUUGACCGCCUGGGGAGUACGUCGCAAGAUUAAAACUCAAAUGAAUUGACGGGGUCAUAGCUGUUUCCU